GGUCAGUGAUGUCAUGGCAUGUAUUAGCUGAGUGCUAACGUGAUGCACGUUCUCAAGAUGGCACUGAGACCUC